rfam:Solanum tuberosum cultivar DM 1-3 516 R44 scf00047_91, whole genome shotgun sequence.
CUUAAGAAUGUGUUUCUGCUGUAAAUAUGGACGGAGAACAAUUGGUAGGCUUUAGGUGGGCAACCAAGGAGUAUUGUGUUGCUCAUAAAGACCCUACUAACAUUG